rnacentral:rRNA from 1 species
CCGCGAUAGGUCAUUUCUUCUGGAAUGGGUAACGACCCAAAUCUAUAUGGCCCCUGGAUUGGACUGCGGCCGAUCAGGCUGUUGGUGAGGUAAUGGCCCACCAAACCUGUAACCGGUACGGGCUCUGAGAGGAGGAGCCCGGAGAUGGGCACUGAGACAAGGGCCCAGGCCCUAUGGGGCGCAGCAGGCGCGAAACCUCUGCAAUAGGCGAAAGCUUGACAGGGUUACUCUGAGUGAUUUCCGUUAAGGAGAUCUUUUGGCACCUCUAAAAAUGGUGCAGAAUAAGGGGUGGGCAAGUCUGGUGUCAGCCGCCGCGGUAAUACCAGCACCCCGAGUGGUCGGGACGUUUAUUGGGCCUAAAGCAUCCGUAGCCGGUUCUACAAGUCUUCCGUUAAAUCCACCUGCUUAACAGAUGGGCUGCGGAAGAUACUAUAGAGCUAGGAGGCGGGAGAGGCAAGCGGUACUCGAUGGGUAGGGGUAAAAUCCGCUGAUCCAUUGAAGACCACCAGUGGCGAAGGCGGCUUGCCAGAACGCGCUCGACGGUGAGGGAUGAAAGCUGGGGGAGCAAACCGGAUUAGAUACCCGGGUAGUCCCAGCUGUAAACGAUGCAGACUCGGUGAUGAGUUGGCUUAUUGCUAACUCAGUGCCGCAGGGAAGCCGUUAAGUUUGCCGCCUGGGGAGUACGGUCGCAAGACUGAAACUUAA